rnacentral:rRNA from 1 species
AAUCAACGCUGGCGGCGUGCCUCAGACAUGCAAGUCGAACGAUUAAGACUCUCUUCGGAGAGUGUAUAAAGUGGCGCACGGGUGAGUAACACGUAGGUAAUGUACCGAAGGGUGGGGAAUAACUUAGGGAAACUUAAGCUAAUACCGCAUAAUGCAGCGGCUCGACAUCGAGACAGUUGUUAAAGGAGCAAUCCGCCUUUUGAGCAGCCUGCGGCAGAUUAGCUAGUUGGUAAGGUAAUGGCUUACCAAGGCUACGAUCUGUAACCGACCUGAGAGGGUGGUCGGUCACACUGACACUGAAUAACGGGUCAGACUCCUACGGGAGCAGCAGUCGGGAAUUUUGGGCAAUGGGCGAAAGCCUGACCCAGCAACGCCGCGUGAAGGAUGAAGUAUUUCGGUAUGUAAACUUCGUAAGAAUAGGAAGAAUAAAUGACGGUACUAUUUGUAAGGUCCGGCUAACUACGUGCCAGCAGCCGCGGUAAU